CAGAUUAGUUGUCGUCAUUGCCCAUAGAAUCUAAUGGAUUUGUUUCUACAACGAAUCUUCUGAGUUGAGUUAGGCAGUAUUCCCCUGAAUUUAUUGAGGUCCCGAAUGUCAGUUGACAAGUAAGGGAAGAACGAGCUCUUGUAA